GCAUCGGCCAUUGUUUUGCCAUGUAGAAGAGGUAUCUCACAUUCCUUGCGUCAAGAUAGGUGAAGAAGUGAUCAUAAGAUAUGAGCUCUCUCUCCCUCUCGCUCACAUACAAAUCUUUUCGCAGGACAACAUAUCUUCUCUUGGAGAGAUAUUCAUUUGCAAGGUUUCUUUAUGUGUCAUUUCCAGAGGAGGGUUUACUAUUUAAUAGAAAGGUUCACCUGGAAUAUCUCAACUGACACAUUCCCAAAUACAGGCAUUGAAUGCACAACAUUUUGAGAAGCCUACUUUUUGACAUAGGUGGCAUGGCACAAACUCGCAUCCGCAUUUCCUUCCCCAUUGGCAUGCUGUCUCAUCUUUUCUGUUCUGUUACCAGCUUGAAGCUUGUGUAGAUAUGUUAUGCUCUUGUAAUUCUGAUCACAAACAUCGCUUGACAAAUGGAAAGUCACAAUUAGAUCUUUCAGGAACAGGCCAAACAUGUUCAUACGUGGCAUUGCUCAAGUCAUCAUCAUUUGGGACAGAGAAUCAGCCUUCAAAUGUCUGCUGAGUCAAUGAUCCUUUCUAGAUAUCUCAAGUGUAAUGGAAAUUGAUGAGUUAUAAAGGAUUUGUAAACAUUUUCUACUGGAGGCUAGAAAUGCUUCUCAUAAGUGGCUGUGUUGCAAUUAUUUUGUAGGAUCAAAGACUCUGCAAAGAGCUAAGAAAGUCAUCAUCAAGUAACUUUUAUUUUUA